AACGAACGCUGGCGGCAGGCUUAACACAUGCAAGUCGAACGCCCCGCAAGGGGAGUGGCAGACGGGUGAGUAACGCGUGGGAACGUGCCCUUCGCUUCGGAAUAGUCCCGGGAAACUGGGUUUAAUACCGGAUACGCCGUAUUGGGAAAGAUUUAUCGGCGAAGGAUCGGCCCGCGUUAGAUUAGGUAGUUGGCGGUGUAAUGGACCACCAAGCCUACGAUCUAUAGCUGGUCUGAGAGGAUGAUCAGCCACACUGGGACUGAGACACGGCCCAGACUCCUACGGGAGGCAGCAGUGGGGAAUCUUGGACAAUGGGCGAAAGCCUGAUCCAGCCAUGCCGCGUGAGUGAAGAAGGCCUUAGGGUUGUAAAACUCUUUCGCCGGAGAAGAUAAUGACGGUAUCCGGAGAAGAAGCCCCGGCUAACUUCGUGCCAGCCGCCGCCGUAA
rnacentral:rRNA from 1 species